UAUAUAGGUCUCUGACGUACCCAAUUGUUGUAAAUAAACUGAAUGGUAAUGUGAAAAACAUGUGAAAGACUGCAGGAUUCGAGGGAAAUUACACAAACAGUAACUGCUUCGGAAAGAGGACAUGCGCUACUUCCCUUUACCAAGCAGGUUUUGAUGAACAACUCAAUAUGGACAGGACGGAACAUCGCAGCACGGCUGUAUGCAUACAAGGUGAAGAAAGAAGACAACAAAGAACAUUUCUAAACGGCACUCGUAUUUCAUUAAAUUUUGUUUAAAAUGUU